rnacentral:rRNA from 1 species
GUCCACGCCGUAAACGAUGAUUACUAGGUGUCGGAGGGUAUGGACCCUUCGGUGCCGCAGCAAACGCAGUAAGUAAUCCACCUGGGGAGUACGUUCGCAAGAAUGAAACUCAAAGGAAUUGACGGGGACCCGCACAAGCGGUGGAGCAUGUGGUUUAAUCCGAAGCAACGCGAAGAACCUUACCAAGUCUUGACAUCUGGAUGACGGAUCCCUAACCGGAUCUUCCCUCGGGGCAUCCAAGACAGGUGGUGCAUGGUUGUCGU